GGAUUAGAUACCCUGGUAGUCCACGCCCUAAACGAUGCUCACUAGGUGUUGGGGAAGCGAUUCCUUGGUACCGAAGCUAACGCGUGAAGUGAGCCGCCUGGGGAGUACGGCCGCAAGGUUAAAACUCAAAGGAAUUGACGGGGACCCGCACAAGCGGUGGAUGAUGUGGAUUAAUUCGAUGCAACGCGAACAACCUUACCUACCCUUGACAUGUCUGGAAGGCCCCUGAGAGGGGGCUGUGCCUGAAAGGGAACCGGAACACAGGUGCUGCAUGGCUGUCGUCAGCUCGUGUCGUGAGAUGUUGGGUUAAGUCCCGCAACGAGCGCAACCCUUGUCCCUAGUUGCUACGCAAGGGCACUCUAGGGAGACUGCCGGUGACAAACCGGAGGAAGGU
rnacentral:rRNA from 1 species